rnacentral:tRNA from 1 species
GGCCUAAAUAAAUUCUGAAGUGCAAAUUUAGAUUUGAAGCAAUGUUUCUUAGGCUU